rnacentral:lncRNA from 1 species
AUGGCUGCCAAGGUGUUUGGGUUGAUCGGAAAGUUCGGACUGGCUUUAGCAGUUGCAGGGGGUGUGGUAAACUCUACUUUAUAUAAUGUGGAUGCUGGGCAUAGAGCUGUCAUCUUUGACCGAUUCCAAGGAGUACAGGACAUUGUGGUAGGGGAAGGGACUCACUUUCUCAUCCCUUGGGUACAGAAACCAGUUAUCUUUGACUGCCGCUCUCAACCACGGAAUGUACCAGUCGUCACUGGUAGCAAAGACUUGCAGAAUGUCAACAUCACACUGCGCAUCCUCUUCCGGCCCGUGACCAGCCAGCUUCCUCGUAUCUACACCAGCAUCGGCCUGGACUACGCUGAGCGGGUGCUGCCAUCUAUCACCUCAGAGAUCCUCAAGUCAGUGGUGGCUCGCUUCAAUGCUGAAGAAUUGAUUACCCAGCGAGAGCUGGUCUCCAAGCAAGUGAGCGAUGACCUCACAGAGCGAGCAGCAACGUUUGGGCUCAUCCUGGAUGACGUGUCCCUGACACAUCUGACCUUCGGGAAAGAAUUCACAGAGGCGGUGGAAGCCAAACAGGUGGCUCAGCAGGAAGCGGAGACAGCCAGAUUUGUGGUGGAAAAGGCUGAGCAUCAGAAAGCAGCGGCCAUCAUUUCUGCUGAGGGCGAUGCUAAGGCAGCUGAGCUGAUCGCCAACUCGCUGGCCACAGCAGGUGAUGGCCUGAUUGAGCUGCGAAAGCUGGAAGCUGCUGAGGACAUUGCUUACCAGCUCUCUAGCUCUCAGAACAUCACCUACCUGCCAGUGGGGCCGUCAUCAGUGGGGCCCUCAGUGAGGCAGUCCAUGUUUCUCCGGCUUCCCCAGUGAGGCAUCCCCUGCUUCACUUCUCAGGCCAGUCAGGCCACGGUCUUCAUUUUGAACAAUGCCUUCCUUCUACUACCCCAGAAAUCACUGUGAAAUUUAAUGAUUAGUUUAAAGUGAAGGAAAUAAAAGUAAAAUCACAUCAGAUCAC